rnacentral:rRNA from 1 species
UACGUAGGGGGCAAGCGUUGUCCGGAAUUAUUGGGCGUAAAGAGCGCGUAGGCGGUCCGAUAAGUCGGCUGUGAAAGUCCAGGGCUCAACCCUGGAAAGCCGGCCGAUACUGUCGGACUAGAGUCCGGAAGAGGCGAGUGGAAUUCCCGGUGUAGCGGUGAAAUGCGCAGAUAGUCGGGAGGAACACCCGUGGCGAAGGCGGCUCUCUCGGGACGGUACUGACGCUGAGACGCGAAAGCGUGGGGAGCGAACAGG